CCGUUCCCUUCUCCAUUUCUCUGUGUAGGGGAAAUAAUCUUAUCACUAGCUCAGAUAUUGACAUAACCUUUGUCAGCUAUCUUUGCCAGAUAGAUUUUAUAAAAAGUCAUAUGAAUCCUAAAUAAUAUAAUCUUUGCAUAGUACAGUGCCUGCGCAUGGCAUUUGAGAGGAGAGAAAUAAUGUGUUUUUGGAUUAUUGUUAAACAUUGUAGUGGUACUAGAUUGCCAUUUCAUUAAGACUUGGUUCAUUUUUGCCAUUCUUAUAAGAUAUGUGUUAAGCAUGUCAGCGUUCCCCUGAAUGAGCUCGUGGGUAUUGGCACCAUGUUGCUUCAAUUGCAGGAAAACCCGGACCCAGUGCGUGUUAAUGGGAGUCCAUAGACGACCAGGUUGUAGAGCAGACAGAGGUCGACCUGUGGUAGAGAUUCGUGUCACUCUGUAGGACAGAGGCAUCGAGCUCUUGUUCCUCUGAGUUACUCCCAAAUCUCCACUAGGCUUAGGAGUGACUUUGAGAGGAAUAAACUCUGGAUACCUCUGUGGGUGUGAAAGACAUCUGAGAAAACAUACAUUUGUGAUUCUGUCAUUCGGGGAGAAAGUGUCUUGGUAUGCUUUGACUUGUUAACUACCCUCGUUCCUUCUAGGGCAGUAACUGACAUUACACAAACUUGAGCCAAAAAGGUAUGUAUGGUUUUUGUCCGUUAUAGAAAAUUGCUUUUUGACUGACAGCCUCUCCCCGGCACCUGCCACACUCUGCUUUGGGAUGAGGCUCUGCAGACCACGUUUCUCCUCCGCGAAGCUUUGUGUUAGGUUCUACCGAUCAUGGGCCGCAUGGGAGGCAAGAGCCCCGAGGAGGGAGGGAGGCCCUGUUCCUCUGUGUUCACUACCUGUCCCCAGUGGUGGUGGCCCAGCCGUGGGCCUGCAGCCCACGAUGACACUUGGCAUUCCUAGCGGAGGUGGUCCCCGCCCACAGCUUUUCCACACCUCUGUAGAACCAUCGCAGCAGCAUCAGCCAGUGCUCCUCUCCAGACAUUUGAAUCCUAGCUCUGUGGGGUCCCGCCAAGUUCCUGAGGCACCCGAGCAGCAUCCAGGCCUCAAAGGUCUGAUUCCCAGCUCCUCAAGCCUCUAGGUCUUUCUUCAGAGUCCCUUGUCUUUGUUUGCAGCCCUGAGACCAGUGGCUCUUCCCGUGGUUCUCAUCUCUGUGACACCUAAGGGUCCCCCUCUUCCUGUCACCUCUUCAGUUCUGGUUGACAGAACUGGUUCUGGUUCAGUCUUUUCUGUUAGACUCUUUCUGUUAAAUAAUUGACAUGCUCGGCCUCCGGAUUGAACAGGCAGCCAGAUUUCUGGUUCCUGCUUGAGGGGAAGUGUGAUGGGUCUCCUUCCCACAGCCUUCAGCUCAGGUUGGCUUCCCUCCAGCACACGUGGACUUUGUUCCCAGAUCAUGGGGUUCACCCCAAGUGUGAAGAACCAAGAUGCUGGGGAAACUGGUGUUACCUCCUGUCUGGUCGUGAAGUCCUGUCCUUGGGCCCUCUCCCUUUAAUUCCCUCUCUUCUCUGCCUCAGUCUCUUCAACACCUUCUCUCUUCAUUCCUCUGCUUCCUUUUACUUACUUGGCAUCUUCCUGGCUUUGCUCUUCUCCGUAAUCCAUCUGGAGUCCAUCAUUGUCACUCCAGUUUCUCACCAGGACAGUCUUCUCUCUUCCCUGUUGUCCUCUGGUCACACUGCCCCACACAUCUGGGCCUGGCUCAUUCCACUGACCCCCUAGCCCGCUGCGGUGCCACUGGAGGGGAUUCCCACCCCGUGUCCGGUGUCCUCGGGCGCCAAGGGAGGCCUGGAGCGCGUGCCCCACCCCCUCUCCUGUCGGGGCUGUUCUCCCCGUGACCGCUGCAUCCCGAUCCUCCUUCCCUUGUCAUCUGGAAGGUGGCCUCACCUAGUUUUCCUCAGAGCAGGUGGAACACGGACGCAGGCCUAAGGUCUGCCACUGCCUCCACACUCACCACCUCUUCUUACCUUACUUGGAGGAAAGAUGUAUCCCCACCUGUCACAGGCUGAAUCUUCCACUGACCAACCGUGCUUUCUUCCAACCUUCUAAUGUGUUACAUAAUUUAUUAUCUGUCUCCCUUCUCCCCCAAGAGAACAAGGGCAGGGAUUUCACAUCCAUUUGGUUGGCUGCAUAUGCGACAAGGACAGGAGGUCAUCAUGGGUGAGUCCAAGGAUUUGGCCCUGAGCCCUGGGAGACUGGAGGUGCCUCUAACUCGGCUGGACGAGGUCACUGAUGGAGCGGAUUUGGAGGGCAGCUCAGAAAUUCACUUCCAGACGUGUUAGCACAUUAGACAUCUGUGUGGAGCUGUUGAGUGGGCUCCAGGAUGUGCAAGUUUCAGAGAGGAGGUCCAGGGAGAAGUACAGAUGCCCUUAGCACACAGAUGACAUUUUAAACCGUGGGCCGCUACAGGAAGUGACUGCACAGUGAAGCUUGAACUGAGCUCUGGGACACUCUAGCGCGUAGACCUCGGGGAGAUGGAGUAAAAGCCAUCAAGGAGCUGGACAGAAGCCCCAACUGUAUUGAGGAGGAAAAACCAGAGGAUGUCCUGUCCUGGAUUCAAGUGACAAGAGUCUUUCCGUGAAGGAAGCAAGAGGGAUCAGCCAUGCCCAGUGCUGCUGGGUCUACCCCCAGAGUGUUCUGUGAAUAUUACUCCCUUCCGCAAGCUGGUAUCACCAACGCAGCCAAGGAGCCAGGCCCUGAACCGUCCUGACUGGCCCCAGCCUGCUCCAUGCCCCAGAGGCGUCCCACAGUGCUUCCCGACCUGCAGCGGGUGAAAUACCGCAGCUGUUGCGUUUUUAACCACUGAACCAACGUGAUACAUUAAGGUAGCUGAUGGUGUCACAGGCAUCCGGGCCCUCUGGGAGCCGAUAUAUUUUUUCAACCCUGCUCUGCCUGCCAGCUAGUAGACACGUGAGUACAAUCUUCCUAUCUAAGGGCAUAGUUGGGUUCUUGGAAGAAGUGACACAUUGGUCACCGGGUGCGGAGAGACGUCGGAUCUGAGCUCUGUCACACAAGUGCUAACAAACAGAAAAUGGGCCAUGACAGGUAAAUACUUUAAUGGAUUGUAAUGUGCUUUUUUUCCCUUGGCUUCCCGUAAAAAAUCAAAUGAAACACCUUGUGCGAAAAAAUAGGAUACAUUUUUACUGGUUGUUUUAAUGAGAGAGAACCACUUUUGGCAACCAUCACCUUAUGCUUCCUACAGAUCCCCAGAGGAAAGCAGCUCUGUGUCUUGGACUGAGCCCCCAUGUAGACUGGGGCCGAGUGGACUCUCUGUUGCUCCCCACGGGGCUGUUCUUCGUGGCCAAGCUCGUGGAGAUCCAAGUCAGCAAUGCUAGCUGGGGGCUCUCCAACUUGCCCAUCACAUUGGGAACAAGGGGAUGAAGGCAUUCUGGAUUUUGUGAAGGUUUCUCAUCUGGCUUUUUUAAAAAACCCAUCAAUGUGGCAAGACCCAAGGCCUCUGGGAGCAUUCUGUGGCUUUUAAAGAGAGUCCUGUGCCUGGAUCCCCUGAAAUGUACACUGGAGUUAAUAUGCUGAAAGGUGGCUUCAGAAGCAAAGUGACACCAAGGUCCUCAAUUCUGGAACUGGCCAUCAUCACUGUCUUCAGGUGAUAAGUGGCUGACUCCAUCACACCCACCCUGUACACUCUCCUCCUGACACAACUGACCUUACCGUUGUGCCUGAGAGACUUUCCAUGGCAGAAGGUGGUUGGACCCCAUGUGGACAUACGCUGUUUACUGGGGGGUGGGCGAGCCCUCUCUCUCUGUGUUGAUCUGGUGGUGCCCUCCACCAGUGUGUCCGCCCUACCCUCACUGAGGGGAGCCAAGUGGCCCAGGGGCACCAGUGGAGUCCUCUAACCCCAGUCACUGGUCAGAGAUGGGCAAGUGACUGAGUGUGGACAAGUGGCUUUCUCAGUACAAGGCUGACCACUUCCUCCUGAGGAGGUGACCACCAGGGGCAGGAAGGAAAGGCAGAGAUGAAGAGAGAACCGGCAAGCUCCUUGUUUGCCCUCAGCCGCGAGGCAGGUGCUAUUCUGCAAAACCCUCUAGUUUAUAAAAGAACAUGCGUACAUGCUAAGUUGGUUAUUGUGCCCUCCCCUCCAGGGGGUCUUCCUGACCCAGGGAUCAAACCCAUGUCUCUUACAUCUCCUGUGCUGGCAGGUGGGUUCCUUACCACUAGCACCACCUGGGAAGCCCUUAUAAAAGAACAGUUGGGUCCAAGUCAUGUUUCUGGAAGCUGGAAUAAGUUAAGGUUAGCUGCUCAGUUGUGGAGAAGACACUUAAGGCUUUUCAUUCACCUAAGCUCCCCAUACCCUUGCUUCUCUUUUUUUUCCUUCUGAUAAGAAUUACCUCCCUGAAGUUUCUAAGAGCUAGCCUGGGUUAGAGUUCCUGGAGGAGACCAGGUGGAACAUCCCCAUCUCAAAGGCACCAGAAAAGAAUGGGAGUUCAUCCAAGAAGGACUUUCCUUUCCUAAAUCCAGGUCUUUUACAGUGUCUGCACCUCCCCCCUUUUGAGAUGAAGAGGGGUUGCCUAGGGAUUGAUAAAAGGUUGGUUGAGCUUUGAAUGGCUUCUAGAGCUGUAUUUCUGUUCUUGUAGAGACUAGGUUUGUAAGACAGGACUGUUUCUAAUUCCCCAAGGAAUUGGUUGCAACUUGAAUGAAUGAAGCCAACAGGAUUUUUACUUAGUUGAAUUUUUUUUUUUUAACAGUGGUGACAGCCUUGGGAUCCCAAGAGGACUUCAAAGUCCAAGAUUCCUCUGUUUUGGGUUCUCUCCAACUUUAUUCUGGAUUUGGACAAAGACAGAUUGUCCUUCUGGUGAGUACUUUUUUAGUUUCUGAAUUAGAGUGCACUUAGUUUACAUUUAAACAUGUAGUUUUUCCUGAGAGAAAAAUUAAAACAAAAAUUGGAGGGCAUGGGUCAAGCACCUGAUGAGAGACAACCAUCUCCAGAGCCCAGGCUCCCAGAUAGGAAAAUGUGGUCACGGCCCAGAAGGGGCACAAGGUCACUGGCCACCUGCAAGAAAAUUGAGUGUAUUGAGGAAGCCCUGGUCGGGGGUCUUGACAUACAGGGCACCCGGCCAUCUACCAGGAAAAGGAAGUAUCCUUGAGAGACAGACUGUCAGACCCGAGUCCUGGCCCUCAGUUUACCCCUGAGGCUGUUGAGGAUUUUCUCUGCUCUAGGAAAAACUCCACAAAUGGAUCCCAGUCACCUAAAUGUUUUAGGAGUGCCCUCCCCCCCACCACCUUAGGAACUACCCCCAGCAGUUUUAUGUUAAAAAACAUUGAGGUCUCUCCACUUGCACAUGGACUGCUCUUACUGAAGAUAAACUAGAAUAAGGGCGGUCACCAGGAGGAAUGUUCUUGUUGCACAAGAUUGUUCACUUCAGGAGUCCACAUCAAACAAGUGGAGUGGGAUGCCUAGUUUAGUCAGUAUGAUAAAGCUUGCAAAAUGCUUCAAAAUUCCCAAAUAGCUUCACUGAAACUCACUGCAAAAGGCUAGUAAAAAACUUAAAGACACAAGAGAUACCUAAAGUAAGAGUAAAACUUUAACUCCUCCCGCUCCCCUCUAUCCUCCUGGGUUCAUUCCGCUUGUCCUCUGUCUGCAGAGACUGCGAGACUGUAACAAAAGCCUGUCAAGUUAGUGCUUGUACAGACACCCCUAAAUCUAUCCCCACCCCCUGGGGAACCACCCCACCCCCACACCCUGGGCUCUCCCAGGGUUGAUGGGACUCUCCUGUAACUGCUUCCAGUUAUUCCCUUCCAAAGCCAAGGGGAAACUAAUAAUAAAAUUAAUGGAAAACCUUGCGGAAUCUCAGUAGCUAGUGAAGCUACACUCUAAACCCCACUUGUUCCAGAGCCUGCAGAUGGGAUCCUGGUCAGUCCGGCAGACAACAGCCAGGGUGAGCAUUCUGACCAGAGUCAGUUCUCCCGAAUCUGCCUGCCAUGGCCAGCUGAGAGAGAAAGGUGAACUUUCACAUCCCUCCCUUUCCAAAUCCAGACACACUGACUGAUCUUUUCUCUCUCAGGGGCCAUUCAGGUUGGGUGAAUACCACAGAAAUGUAAAUUGUACCCGUCUGCAGCUGAGGUCCUGCCUGAUGGGUGCCAGCCCUUAGGGGGAACGGAGUCUUCCCUUUUGGUUAUGGGAGUGGCUCUGGAUCUGGCAGGGUGGUAUCCUUGGCACCCUCUUUGGGAAUGCCUCUUGCGUCCAUGAGGUCUUUCAGUAUGGCCAGGAAUAUUUAUUGUUUGUCCUUCUGACAAGAUAUUUAAAAGGUUGUUUAAAUGGCUCUAUGGUCUGAUAUUCAGAGCCUAUUGGGGAUAAAGUUCCUAAGUCAAAAUGGAACUGUGUACCCAGAGGGAAAGAAAAAUAUUGCAAAGACAAAGCUCUAAAUCUGGAGCAUAAGAAUCUUUUGAAUUCCAUCAUAGUCAGUCUUCUUCAUGAUCUAAAGAAGCAAACAGAAGAUGACAUAGUUGGAGGCAUGGGACAGCCUGUGAUGUCAUUCACAGUGCAACCUGUCCUUUGUCUUAUAAACCUGGUCUUUACAAAAAUAGAAACGCAGGUUUAGAAGCAAAUCAAAGGCCACCUAUUCUAUCAAUCUCCAAACAUACUCUUUUCACUUCAGAAUGCUUGCAGACAUUGUAAAAGAUCUGAAUUUAAGAAAGAAAAGUCCUUGAAGGAACUCCCAUUUUGAGCAGGUAAGUUUAACUUACUCCAAUGUCCAGAAACAGGAUUUGGAUAAAACAGUUCUUCUAUAAACUAGCAAGUUCUGCUUUACUGUACCUGUCUCAAGGCUAAAAUUUUAAAACCAAAGCUUCCCGACCUCUGCAUCUGUCUGUAUGUUUGUGUAUGUACAUGGUAGGUUUGUAAUGUGUUUCUGCCUCUGAUGGGUACUGUAUAAUCAGUUUGUAAAAAAUGCAUCUAAUUGGCUUAAAGAAAAAUGAUUAUCAAAUUAAGUAUUCUAAAACUCAGAAAGUUUCAAAUUCACAUCAUAUGGGAUAAAUCAAGAGCUAUCUUAUGUUUGUUGGUUUGAUCAAAGUAGGUGUGUUAAAUAUUGAUAUAAUGCAGACAUAAUUUUGAUUCUACCUGUGUUUACUAGUCAAAUAAGUUCAUGUUAUCUUGGUUAUAAAAUGUGUCCAUAAAAAGAUAAGACAUUGGCUAGCUGUUUAAUGGCUAGAGAAAAUUUCUAAUUAAACAUAAUUGUUAACGAAUAAACAAACGGAGAAAUACGUAUUGGUCAUGAGCUGUAUGUUUUUCUCUGGGUAGAAGAGUUUUCCUGUUGAUAAGCAGCUGCCUCUUUUGUAGCAAAGAAAUGACUUCAAAACAUCCUCCCUGUAUGGGGCACCCCCAUCAUUUCUGCACAGUGACUGAGACUCACUUCACUGGCACAGCCUAAGAGCUCUGCAGAGUCCCUGCUUCUGCUGUACAGGCUGCCUUCAGGACAGGACAGAAGACUGGUGACAUCACUAAAACUCAGUGAGGAGGUGACCAAGGUGCUGUCCCUGGGCCUUCUGAAUCUAAGGGCCCCUCGAAAAACAGAGGCUCACUCCCUCUGCCUCAAUCUCCGCACUCUGACCCUCACAUUACCCAGCAGAACCUAUCAAAAAAUUGCUGGUCAUCUAUUGUCAGUUCCUCCUCAGGUUGAAGAAACUUACGCUGAACCAGAUAACAACCUGCCACUGACACCACUCGUCCACUACUUCCUGGAGAAGAUGUCCACUGAAAAAGACACCAGCUGAAGGACUCCUGCUCCUCUCCUGGGAAAUGACCUUUUCUGAAGUGAGAUUCAUGGAAAGUAACCUACCAUGAGCUCUUGAUGGCCACAUGGCUGCCCAAUCACAAGGCAUCAAACCUUGGGUAGAGACGUUACAACGGAUGAAGGCUCCACCUACCUUCUGGUCCCUCCCCUCCUGCGCAAAAGCUGGCAAUCUCAAACCAAACUGACUAGGGAGAGAAGUGGCCACCACAGAGAUCCCUCAUCCCCUGGCCAAGAGCUGAUGCAAAGGAGGCCACGAUCAGCAAUCUCUCCUUACCUCCUGAAGAUACUGCAGACCCUGCUGGUAAAGCAACAGCUGCCCAAUAAAAAAUCUAGACUGACCAGAGUUGUUCCUGAUGAGACAAGCCUCUGACAGCCUCUAGUCGAGCAAGGAGGUGUCUGUGCUGUGACCCACACCCCUGUACCUGGAUCGACACUUCGCAGGAAGGGGAGACUCAGCCACAGAAGACUACUGAACAAGCCCAGCACUUUCUUAGGCCAGCAGCCCAACCAACACAGUCGUUCUCCGGGGGUCAUUCUGGUUACAAGAGUAGUCACCGUAGGGUGCUGUGUUCUCUCAAAACCUUUAAAUACAGCUUUGCAGCCACAGGCCACCAAGCACAUGCUCUCCCUCGAACAGAACAUCAGAAAAGGAACAGAAUGACUGACUGAAAGAAUGUGAACCCAAUGUCAUGACCUGUGAAGACCGCACAGAGAUUCAGCAAAAAGCCGGUGAGAACCCCAGAGCCAUAGCUGGGGGUAGCCCUACUGCCUUACAUUUGGAUCAUUUGGAUGAAAAGGGGAGAACUGUUAAAAACAGCAGACCUGAAAUGCAGUUGUAUAGGCUAAGCUCCACGUCAUCACACCGAGACUUGACUUUACAGUUUCAGCUCCCCCAGGAAUGGGAUCCCCCAAUCCGCAUGAUGAGGACGUCACCUGCCAGACGCCUGCUGCCCCCGCCUGCCUCUUCACCUGGUGUAACUGCCUGUGCUUGCCUACACGUCUCUGCCUUUUGUGCAGCAUCUCAGAGCUCCUUGCUUUCUGCUGGACUGGAAGCUCCUUGAUUCACAAAUCACUGAAAUAAAGCCAGUAGGAUCUUUCAAAUUUA